rnacentral:rRNA from 1 species
AAUAUAAGCACCCGAAAUAGUUAGGAUCUAAAAAUGGUAUACUUUCAGAAUAUCUAGCUACAAUGUGGCAUUAUUAUAAUAAUAAUCAUUUUAGAAGUGAAAGACUUUCAUCUACUAUGAUAUCUGGAGGAACAUAAAAUGUAUUUAGUACAGUUAAGUGAUUUUAGAAGUGUCGAGAUUUCUAAGUUUUAGCAUUUAUAAUUUUUGUUCAGAUAAUGAGAUAAUACUCUUUUUGGGAAAUAAAUAAUAAUACUAUUUUAAUAAUAUCGUUCAGACCAUUUUACUUAUUAAAAGGUUUUAUAAUGUAAAAAUAAGUAUCUAUUUAAUUUUUUAUAAAGGAACUCGGCAAAUUUAUCUUNGACUGUUUACCAAAAACAUAGCCUGAAGGGUUUUAUUUUAGGUAAUGCCUGCCCAGUGAUUGGAGAUAAUUUAACGGCCGCGGUACCUUGACCGUGCAAAGGUAGCAUAAUAAAUUGGCUUUUAAUUGGAGUCUUGAAUGAAAGGUUUCACAAGGAUUAACUGUCUCUUUAGAAUAAUUGUAAAGUUACUGAGGAGGUGAAAAUUCCUCUAUUUUUAAGUUAGACGAGAAGACCCUUAGAAUUUUUAUAAUAAAACUUAGUUAAUCUAUCUUUUUGUUGGGGCGACAUUGAGUAAUAUAAAACACUCACUACUAAUAGUUUACAUGCCGAGUUUUACUAUGUUAGAUUAAAUUACCUAAGGGAUAACAGCAUAAUUUUAUAAUAAAGAUUGUGACCUCGAUGUUGGAUUAGGUUCAAUAGUCGUUAGCUACUAUUAUUUGUUUGUUCUGUUCGAACUUUGAAACCUACAUGAUCUGAGUU